GAUGAACGCUAGCUAUAGGCUUAACACAUGCAAGUCGAGGGGAAACGGCAUUAUGUGCUUGCACAUUUUGGACGUCGACCGGCGCACGGGUGAGUAUCGCGUAUCCAACCUGCCCUUUACUUGGGGAUACCCCGUUGAAAGACGGCCUAAUACCCGAUGUAAUUCAUUGAUGGCAUCAGAUAUGAAUAAAAGAUUUAUCGGUAAAGGAUGGGGAUGCGUCUGAUUAGCUUGUUGGUGAGGUAACGGCUCACCAAGGCGACGAUCAGUAGGGGUUCUGAGAGGAAGGUCCCCCACAUUGGAACCGAGACACGGUCCAAACUCCUACGGGAGGCAGCAGUGAGGAAUAUUGGUCAAUGGGCGCAAGCCUGAACCAGCCAAGUAGCGUGCAGGAAGACGGCCCUAUGGGUUGUAAACUGCUUUUAUACGAGAAUAAUUUGAUGCACGUGUGCGUUAUUGCAUGUAUCGUAUGAAUAAGGACCGGCUAAUUCCGUG
rnacentral:rRNA from 1 species